AGUGAACGCUGGCGGUAGGCCUAACACAUGCAAGUCGAACGGCAGCACAGUAAGAGCUUGCUCUUACGGGUGGCGAGUGGCGGACGGGUGAGGAAUACAUCGGAAUCUACUUUUUCGUGGGGGAUAACGUAGGGAAACUUACGCUAAUACCGCAUACGACCUACGGGUGAAAGCAGGGGGUCUUCGGACCUUGCGCGAUUGAAUGAGCCGAUGUCGGAUUAGCUAGUUGGCGGGGUAAAGGCCCACCAAGGCGACGAUCCGUAGCUGGUCUGAGAGGAUGAUCAGCCACACUGGAACUGAGACACGGUCCAGACUCCUACGGGAGGCAGCAGUGGGGAAUAUUGGACAAUGGGUGCAAGCCUGAUCCAGCCAUACCGCGUGGGUGAAGAAGGCCUUCGGGUUGUAAAGCCCUUUUGUUGGGAAAGAAAAGCAGCAGGUUAAUACCCCGCUGUUCUGACGGUACCCAAAGAAUAAGCACCGGCUAACUUCGUG
rnacentral:rRNA from 1 species